GAUAUGAACUUGGUAUGAUGUCACUCUGUUGACAGGCUGCAGUAUGCAGAGCACUGUCUCAAGACGUGAUGUAAGCAGUAAGGUGAUGGUCCACCUCCCAAAACAAGGCUCUGUGUAUUCACUCCUUUACUCAUUCUUCACGUCUAAGUGUCAGUGUUGCUUAGAGUAUGUUUAUAUGCUGCUGAGAUUCAGCAAUUAAUUUUUCUCUUCUGCAGAGGACAUCUGUCAUUCCAUACAGACCACUCCAUUGGGUCCUGUUGUUCUGACAAGAGGACAUUUAACAAUCUCAUGAGGUCCUUGGGAUGGAUAGACUGCUACCAAGAAAAAUUCUCCAACAGAGGGCAACGUCUGCAGCAUAAACGGCGCAGCAAACGCAUAACUUGUAAAAGCAAAGACAAAAACAAUAGGGAUCCAGUAGCUUGGACCGCUAAUUAGCCCAGUGGUUUGGAAAACAGUCCGUAGGAUUCAUGGCUCCAAAGUGCUUCCUACCAGCUUCCUGAAAGACCAAGAUACAAGUCUGACUUUGCUACUAAAGGUCACUUGCCAUCUUUCCAAUAUGCCUAGCCAUAAACCAAAGUGUGCAUAAUCCUACGUCAUCAUCCAGAGAGAAAUGCCAUAUUUGUAUGAUAUUAAUUAAAUCCUCAAUCCAGAAAAUCAAUCUCCAUAUUUUAGAUCACAAAAAGUUUGUGACCAUGAGGGUUAAAAUGUACUAUUUAAAAUAUCUUAAAAGUUGCAACCAUCAAGUGGUUUUACGGAAUCUCAGGUUAGUUUGAUAGAGUUUGAUGUGCAAUUUGUUACCCCUGGUUGACUCCUUUGCUGACAGACACAGGACACUUCACUGCUUUAACCUACAGAUAUGUAUUUAUUUUUAAACCAGUUUAAGUCAGUCUUCUAUGAUUAUAGCUAAGUAUUUUUUCUGCUUCUGAUUAUUAUAUUACAGCUGCAUUCAUUUUUAAUAUAGCGUCACUACAUGAUUUUUUAAAGAUGCAGAGCAUUUUGUUUUCGAGUACUCUCUGAUCAUGCCAGCAGUGCUACUGAGUUUCUUAAAAACUGCAGCUUUACAGAAGACAGGACAGCAGGAUAAACACAAUUGAAAGAAAUGGAAAGUGACAUCUAAUUUGCACUAUAUAGCUUUUGGGAUUUACAUAAAGUGACUGUAAACUGCAUUUAUCCAUGUUCAUUUCCUGAAGACUUACAAGCCUGCAUUUUGGCUUCUGAAUAGGGCUGAGUGUAAAUUAAUAUAAUUAAGUUACAUAAAAUGGCCACAUUACAUUAACUGAGGAGGUGUAACAAUAUCCAAAAUAUUACACACCAAGUUAUGAUCCCUCAAAGCAGUUUAGUGGCACAAGGCCAAGUGAAUAAUAACCAGAAAAAAUGGUAACAGCAUGAAGCAUGAACAUGGACUUAUGGGUGAAGGGACAGAACUGUAUGAAGAACUCUGUGACCUGCACUGGACAUAGGGUUAUCGGAGAAUGGACAGAACCGUCUGAAGCACACCAAGACCUGCACUGGACAUAGGGUUAUCGGAGAAUAGACAGAACCGUCUGAAGCACACCAAGACCUGCACUGGACAUGGGAUUAUGGGAGAAUAGACAGAACCGUCUGAAGCACACCGUGACCUGCACUGGACAUGGGAUUAUGGGUGAAUGGACAGAGCCGUCUGAAGCACACCGUGACCUGCACUGGACAUGGGGUUAUGGGUGAAUGGACAG